rnacentral:rRNA from 1 species
AUUGAACGCUGGCGGCAGGCUUAACACAUGCAAGUCGAGCGAGCGGCGGACGGGUGCGUAAUGUCUGGGAAACUGCCUGACGGAGGGGGAUAACUACUGGGAACGGUAGCUAAUACCGCAUACCAUCAGAUGUGCCCAGCUGGGAUUAGCUAGUAGGUGUGGUAAUGUCUCACCUAGGCGACGAUCCCUAGCUGGUCUGAGCGGAUGACCAGCCCCUCUGGAACUGAGACACUGUCCAGACUCCUACGUGAGGCAGCAGUGGGGAAUAGUGCACAAUGGGCGCAAGCCUGAUGCAGCCAUGCCGCGUGUGUGAAGAAGGCCUUCGGGUUUUAAAGCACUUUCAGCGAGGAGGCGUUACUCGCAGAAGAAGCACCGGCUAACUCCGUGCCAGCAGCCGCGAUAAUAC